UUUUUUUUUUUUUUUUUUUUAACAGGGCCCAUCCUGAUGCAGCCAUCUCUGGCUAGGACAACAGAUCCACCCUGUAAAGAGUUUGUGAGGCCAGGAAUCCCUCAGAAAGGGGUGCUGGCACGGUGGGUGCCUUGCACAGGCUGGACAGAGUGCUCAUUCAUAUUCAUGUGGCAUGGCUGAGAAGGAACCCGGAGAGUCCCUUCAUCCCACUCCCAAGCUUCCCCCUUAGCACUGCUGCCUGCAAGUUCAUCACUUAAGUAAAGUGAUGCCUUCUCCAGCAUUCCUUUUAGAGUGUGCCCCUUAUCCUGGGCCCUCCCUCACAAUCACUAUCAAAGUCAGGAUGGUCCUAGCAAUCACUAUCACUAAGCUGCAGCCCACAAGCCUAGUCUGAUGGGGUCCUAAUCAUGGGUCCCAGGAGCCCCAUCACAGGCUCAGAGAGUCCAGGAGGCAAAGCCCGAACACCUGCACAGGUGUGAAAGGGGAAGGGCUCUGAGGAGGGAGUGGGAGGGUGGGGGUGGGGGAAGAAUGGGCUGAUGGAAGGCUCUGAAGUAGCAGCCGGAGUGCAGAAAAUCUCAGAGGAGGGGAAAUGCUAGCAGCUCCCAAGGAGAGAGACCAGGCUGACCUGACAUCAUAGGCUCAGGAAGCACAGAUGAGGAGAUGAAUGCAGACACCUGGGGGAAUGAGCUGAGAAAAGCAGAGUGAUCUGAGGCAAAGGAGAAUAAUGGUGGCGGUUCCUCCUGCUUGGUAGGGAGGGCAGUACCUGGGGAGGACAUCAUGGGGUGGGCCAGUUCCCCUUGAGUUUUCUGCAACCAAGUUUCCCCUAAGGCCUCCCCGGCUACAGAGUCCACACUGCAGCUGGCCUCCCCACCCCGGGGCAGAAAGCAGAGGAGUCAGCCAUCAAGGCCUGGCUCUGAGCUAGAGGCCAGCAGAACCCCCAGGAGGCCUUGCCGAGGGCAGGAAGGAGGUCUCGGGACUCUCAGCAGAAGUUUAUUGCCCUGGGAGGAAGGUAGGGUAGCUGGAGCUUAGGAAAGAGCUGGGGGUAUGGAUGAGGAGCAAGGAAAGUUUUUACUUCUGGUAGCCUCUCCACCCUCCCCAUCUCAAGGCCUUUGCCACCAAUAUCCCCCUUGGGCCCCUAACAUCUUUCCUGGUCUCCAGUGGGGCUCUAUUGCCAUCUUCAUUCCUCUGGAGACACAGGGCCUCUCAUCUGCAUGCACUCAGCAUGGGAAGAUGCAUGUGGUCACCCUGUCCCUUCAUCACACACGUGCUCCUCUGGAGGCUAAUGUAGUGGCUACAAGCCAGGGCUGCUGGUCAGACCUGGCUCUGCCCCUGUGCUGGUUACCCACUGAUGUAUAACAAACUACCCCCAAAACUUAGUGACUCCAAACAAGAGCAUUCUCUGAUACCUCAUUUUCGGUCAGUAAUUCAGGAGGGUUCAGUAAACAAUUUUGCUGUUCCGUGUGGCAUUGACAGAGGUCACUCUGUGGUAUUUCACUGGCAGAUGUGCUGGUCUGGAGUGACCAAGAAAGGGUCACUCAAAUGUCUAAUGUCUGGGCUCAGUGAGGCUGUCAACCAG
ensembl:lncRNA